AUGAUGAAAUUUGGGCAAAAUUAAGGUGUGUCCCUAAUUCGGAGGAAGAGCACGAUGAAGAUGUGUUCUCAACUCCCUCCCGAUUCCGUGUACCCUCGCAUUCAUAUCCCUUUUGAGGAUGUCGAGUUCUUAUGGAAGAACGUGGUAGCACAUAUAACUUCUCGAUUGCUUCAAAAUCAGAUUUCCAUCACCUAGCAACGGUCUUGGUGUAUAUUUUAAACCUCUUGGCAGCUUUCAAGAAACGUACCUUUAAUCAGCUCUCUGAAUGGAUCGCACCUUCCCAAAAUAAAUUCGACAAGUUUGUGGUGCUCAUUUGUUGUAAGGUGUUUAUUUGCCAUCUUUUUAGUGUAGUAGCUGUGUAUGAAGAGAAAUAAAUAAGGUUGUAUGAAUAGAAAUUAAUGGCGUAUUUAUAGCUGUGAUUUAUGUGUUGUUUAUCAGGAGGAAAAUUUGAUAGGAAGUUUUUGGGGGUAAUUGGGUUAAAUUAGGAGUGAUUUUAUUGGUGUUUUGGAGGGAACACGUUUAGUAGGAGAGGGAAAAGUUUCCCACUGUAAUUUUUUUUU